GUACCGCUGCACCCACGCUGAAUCCCCAUCCAAAAUCCAUGAAGGAAUUUAGGAUGCUAAAUCUUGAGACAAACUAAUGGGGGGGGCGGGGCCAGGAUACGGUCCUCAUUUCCCCACUUAAUGAGAAUGCUGGAAGUUUACAGCAGAGAAUGACCUGUUCCAGAUAAAUACAGACUGCAGCAGCCAGCACCCCCUAAGGGGCUUUGUAAUAUACAUCAGAUGUGUGGCCACAUCAGUCCCUGGGAAGUUCAGGGCCCACAGAUGACCCCUCAUCCUCUUCUCCCCACUCCCCCCACGCAGGGUCUUACUUUGUAGCCCCGGCUAUCCUCCUGCCUCAAGAAGCUGAGAAUUUUGUCUUGCUUUCCUUCUUUCCGUUUACGUCCACGUGCGUGUGUAUACAUGGUUACGUAUUGGCGUUGACACCUCCUACAUACAAGUCACAAUUGCCAGCCUUGGGGACACAGCAGUGCCCGUCUUCAUUGGUACUUCCAGUCUAGCGAGGAAGCAGAAUAUAAAAUUCCCACAAUGAUUAGUAACUAUUAUGACAAGCUCCGAGAAGUCCCAACUGCAGAGGCUGAGAACGAGCUGGACUUGUGGAGAAACUGCAAGCAGCUGCUAGGAGUGCUUGAGUUGCUUGGUUUAAGUUCAAAUCACUUUUAGAGAAGCUGAUUAAUCUGUACCAAAGGCUUGCAACUUCUCACCCACCUUGGGAACCUCCAACCCGAACAGCAUCCCUGGACAUCUUCAACCUAGGACUGCUAUACCUUUUUCUGCCAUCACGGCCCCUGACUGGUCCUCUGUCUCAACCAGGGCUUGCCCAGCACACAAACAGACCGGAGCUCGAUCCCCAGCACCAACCACACAAAAGCAUCCUUGAACACUGGUCUCCAGGAAGCAUUCCCUUGCACAGCUCUCUCCAACAGGCUGUUGACCCUUGAAUGUACGUGUCACUUUAUGGGUGAGUUUCUGUCUGUGUCUGCCUCCGUGUGGGAGGCUGGGAUUCCUGCCUCUCCCAUCUUACUCUGUGAGCACCACAGUCACUUGUGAUGCUUACCACGCCUGUGAAUUGCUCUCCACAGGGGGAAAAGAAAAGUUGUGGCUAGGGCCAGUGUAGGAGACACAAUGUAAAUUGACAAUGCUUGCAUAUUUGGGGACAACACGGGUUACAGGGGAAGGAUGAAGGGACAUAGAGUGUCGGGCUUGAUCUUGG
rnacentral:lncRNA from 1 species